rnacentral:rRNA from 1 species
GAGUCGGGCCUGCUCGGUGAAUAAGUUUUUAACAGCUGCGGUAUUUUAACUGUACUAAGGUAGCAUAAUAAUUUGCCUUAUAAUUUGAGGCUAGAAUGAAUGGUUUGACGAAGGUUAAUCUGUCUCCGCUUUAUUUUUUAGAAUUUAAUUUUUAAAGUGAAAAAGCUUAAAUUUUUUAAAGGGACGAGAAGACCCUAAUGAGCUUAUAAUUUUAUUAUUGUUGUGCAAAACAUUUGGUCAAUAAUAUAUAAAUUUUAAUUGGGGUGAUUGAGGAAUAAAUUAGAUAAACUAACUUCCUUAAACUAAAUAUUUAUAGAUAAAGUAACCAAUAUAAUAUUGCUUAUAAUAUAGUUACCAUAGGGAUAACAGCGUAAUUUGUUUAGAGAGUUCUUAUUGAAAAACGAGAUUGCGACCUCGAUGUUGGAUUAAAGUAACCUUAAGGUGCAGAAGCUUUAGUAAGGUAAAUCUGUUCGAUUUUUAAUACUUUACGUGAUCUG